rnacentral:lncRNA from 1 species
GCUACAUAUUUCUAUCCUGCUUUAUUAUUUGGACCAAGAUUCUCAAUCUUGGUAGACCAUGGACAGGUAAUAUUCUGAUACAGUAUCAGUGCACCUAGUACGAGAGUCGAUUUGACAUACUGAGAUUCAUUAAGCCCUCUGUACCAAGUCUUGGUCGGUAUGGUACAUCCAGUACAGGGUGGUACACAACAGUAUGAUGAACCUUGAUUUGGAUAGUUACCAUACAACAUCAAUUUAUAACCAGGAG